rnacentral:rRNA from 1 species
GAUGAACGCUGGCGGCGUGCCUAAUACAUGCAAGUCGAGCGAAUGGAUUAAGAGCUUGCUCUUAUGAAGUUAGCGGCGGACGGGUGAGUAACACGUGGGUAACCUGCCCAUAAGACUGGGAUAACUCCGGGAAACCGGGGCUAAUACCGGAUAACAUUUUGAACCGCAUGGUUCGAAAUUGAAAGCCGGCUUCGGCUGUCACUUAUGGAUGGACCCGCGUCGCAUUUGCUAGUUGGUGAGGUAACGGCUCACCAAGGCAACGAUGCGUAGCCGACCUGGGAGGGUGAUCGGCCACACUGGGACUGAGACACGGCCCAGACUCCUACGGGAGGCAGCAGUAGGGAAUCUUCCGCAAUGGACGAAAGUCUGACGGAGCAACGCCGCGUGAGUGAUGAAGGCUUUCGGGUCGUAAAACUCUGUUGUUAGGGAAGAACAAGUGCUAGUUGAAUAAGCUGGCACCUUGACGGUACCUAACCAGAAAGCCACGGCUAACUACGUGCCAGCCGCCGCCGUAA